GAUGAACGCUGGCGGCGUGCUUAACACAUGCAAGUCGAACGGUGAAAGAGAGCUUGCUCUCUGUCUCAGUGGCGAACGGGUGAGUAACACGUAAGCAAUCUGCCCCUGACUCUGGGAUAAGCGCUUUAAACGGCGUCUAAUACCGUCUACGUGCUGCGAAGGCAUCUUCAGCAGCUGGUAAGAACUUCGGUCAGGGAUGAGCUCGCGGCGUAUCAGCUCGUUGGUGAGGUAACGGCUCACGAAGGCGUCGACGGGUAGCCGGCCUGAGAGGGUGACCGGCCACAAUGGGACUGAGGAACGGCCCAGAAGGCUACGGGAAGCAGCAGUGGGGAAGAUUGCAAAGUGGGCGAAAGCGUGAUGCAGAAACGCUGCGUGAGGGACGACGGCCUUCGGGUUGUAAACCUAUUUUAGCAGGGAAGAAGCGAAAGUGACGGUACCUGCAGAAAAAGCACCGGCUAACUACGUG
rnacentral:rRNA from 1 species